UACGUAGGGCGCAAGCGUUGUCCGGAAUUAUUGGGCGUAAAGAGCUCGUAGGCGGCCAGUUGCGUCUGCUGUGAAAACCCGAGGCUCAACCUCGGGCCUGCAGUGGGUACGGGCAGACUAGAGUGCGGUAGGGGAGAUUGGAAUUCCUGGUGUAGCGGUGGAAUGCGCAGAUAUCAGGAGGAACACCAAUGGCGAAGGCAGAUCUCUGGGCCGUAACUGACGCUGAGGAGCGAAAGCAUGGGGAGCGAACAGG
rnacentral:rRNA from 1 species